UACGAAGGGGGGCUAGCGUUGCUCGGAAUCACUGGGCGUAAAGGGUGCGUAGGCGGGUCUUUAAGUCAGGGGUGAAAUCCUGGAGCUCAACUCCAGAACUGCCUUUGAUACUGAAGAUCUUGAGUUCGGGAGAGGUGAGUGGAACUGCGAGUGUAGAGGUGAAAUUCGUAGAUAUUCGCAAGAACACCAGUGGCGAAGGCGACUUACUGGACACAUAUUGACGCUGAGGUGCGAAAGCGUGGGGAGCAAACAGG
rnacentral:rRNA from 1 species